UGAGGAAUAUUGGUCAAUGGGCGAGAGCCUGAACCAGCCAAGUAGCGUGCAGGAUGACGGCCCUAUGGGUUGUAAACUGCUUUUAUAUGGGAAUAAAGUGAGGGACGUGUCCCUUAUUGCAUGUACCAUACGAAUAAGGACCGGCUAAUUCCGUGCCAGCAGCCGCGGUAAUACGGAAGGUCCAGGCGUUCUCCGGAUUUAUUGGGUUUAAAGGGAGCGUAGGCUGUUUGUUAAGCGUGUUGUGAAAUGUAGGAGCUCAACUUUUAGAUUGCAGCGCGAACUGGCAGACUUGAGUGCGCACAACGUAGGCGGAAUUCAUGGUGUAGCGGUGAAAUGCUUAGAUAUCAUGACGAACUCCGAUUGCGAAGGCAGCUUACGGGAGCGCAACUGACGCUAAAGCUCGAAGGUGCGGGUAUCGAACAGG
rnacentral:rRNA from 1 species